UGGAUUUAAUCCAGUUUAAAAUGAAAUUUAGUUUAAACUGUUACUGUGCAAACGGACCUAAACGUUUCCCCUUCUAAAGCAUGAACGGCUUUAAAAUCUAGACGAGUAUAAAUCCUAAUCCAAUCAAAGUCUAGUGUAGUGUGAAUAUUAAUCACUGUACGAUCUAUACCUAAUUGUAAUGGUUCUGUUCCCUGCAAUAUCAUUUUAAAUAUUGUAAAUGUGUUCAUGAAAUGAAUUCAUUGCUACUUUACUUCAAAACAGAUUUCUGAAAAUUUUGCGUUAAUGUGCUGUAUUUAUGACACGUGACAGGAUACGCCAAGUGAUAACAGCUGAUUGAGAGCAUAGUAUCAUUUUAUCAGCUGUUCUCUCAGUAAAAACAACCAUGUAGCUGUUUUUCUUCACCAGACACUCUCAAUCAUCCUUCUUGCUCUCACACUUUCUCUCUCUCUCUCACCCUUGCUAUUUUUAAGUGCCAAAUGCCAAACUGUACUUCAAUGAUUAAUAUUAUAAUGAUGAUGAUGAUGAUUGAUAACGGUGUUGAGAGAGGGCGUUGCAUAACGCUCUUGUUUACUGGCGUGUGUGCGCUGUAAAGAAUAUUCUGACAAUGUAACACGAACACGGUUGUUGAAGCUACAACAAUGCUUUGUACACUAAUUGAACCUUCAACUAUGAUAAUAUUAUUCUUUAAUAUUAUUGAAUAUAGUUUUAGUACUCCAAUAAAUUAAUAUUGUAUAUUGUUUAGUGUAUUAAAUGGCUCAGGCACAGGAGUACUUGAUAUUUCAUUCAUAAUGUCUCAAAAUCAAGUUAUUAUUUCGCUUCAUUCUUGAGUUCAAUUUUGUGUCAAAUACAUGAGGCAUGUUCUUCAAUUUAGAUGGAAUAGAAAGUAGAAACAUAAUCAAAUAGAACUGUUAAUGCUUCAAGAGAUAUAAUGACAGUAGCAAGUUCUUGGCUAGUUUCCAUCAGUUUGAAAUCUAGUCGCUGAUCCUAUGCUCUGAAAUCAAAAUAUUCAUUAUUUAUUAGUAACUUAUAUUACUUGCAUACAGUAUAGUAUACUAGCACAGAUAAUGAAAAGAAUGUAUGUAAUACUAGUAUGAGGUAGCCACCUCUAAUACAUUAGAGGCUAUGGUAAUAGCCAACACUGAAUCAAAUUAGUGGACUACAGUAGUGUUGAAAGAGGUAUUUCCCGUUUUCAACUCGCGUAAAAUUAGAGCUUAGCAUAAAAUAGGUUUUUAUUCGGUCAUUAACUUCUCCACGUGUAGUCAAUGAAAUUGAAAUGUAAAUAAAGUCGUAAAAGUGAUUGGUUUGGCUAGGUGGGUUGAUAGAGUUGAUUAUAAUUUGCUGUUUCAGUCAUAGUCAUUGACUAUAUUGCAGUUAUACAUCAGAUGAAUUAUUAUGGUUGUACACAUAAAUUACUGAAUCUUGGUUAAUCGUGGUAUCGUGAUUGACUGUUCUUUGUGACGCAAUCAUUGUAGGCGACUGUAAUAACGUGUAAAUACACCUUUUCAAUCUGAUAUGAACUUUUGGAAAAUUCUCGACUCAUAUUUUCACAGGUUUAGCUGAGGUGGAAGAAUUUUGAAGAGAUACGCCGAUAUAGUAACUGGUGUUUUUACCAGCGUUUUUGGCGAACGAAGUGAGCCCGCUGAUCUCAUUUUUGGACGAUCCAAUCGGGGGUCCAGGCUAUACGGAUAUGGCGAGCGAAGCGAGCCUGACGGCUUGUACAUUAUAUUCAUACUGUAUUGAAUUCUAUACUCUGUACAAGUAGUUUCUUUGUUAAAUUCGUUAGAUACAAGAAUGUUAUAAUGAUUUCUAAUAAAUUUUCAAAUUUCUAAUAA